rnacentral:rRNA from 1 species
GACGAACGCUGGCGGCGUGCUUAACACAUGCAAGUCGAACGCAGUGGCGAACGGGUGAGUAACGCGUAAUCAACCUGCCAUUCAGAGGGGGACAACAGUUGGAAACGACUGCUAAUACCGCAUACUGAGGGAGGGGCUUGAGUCUGAUUAGCUAGUUGGAGGGGUAACGGCCCACCAAGGCGAUGAUCAGUAGCCGGUCUGAGAGGGUGAACGGCCAAAUUGGGACUGAGACACGGCCCAGACUCCUACGGGAGGCAGCAGGGGGGUAUCUUCCGCAAUUGACGAAAGGCUGACGGUGCAACGCCGCGUGAGUGAUGACGGCCUUCGGGUUGUAAAGCUCUGUUAAUCGGGACGCGGUACCGGAAUAGAAAGCCACGGCUAACUACGUGCCAGCAGCCGCGGUAAUUC